GGUUAAGCGACUAAGCGUACACGGUGGAUGCCCUGGCAGUCAGAGGCGAUGAAGGACGUGCUAAUCUGCGAUAAGCGCCGGUAAGGUGAUAUGAACCGUUAUAACCGGCGAUUUCCGAAUGGGGAAACCCAGUGUGAUUCGUCACACUAUCAUUAACUGAAUCCAUAGGUUAAUGAGGCGAACCGGGGGAACUGAAACAUCUAAGUACCCCGAGGAAAAGAAAUCAACCGAGAUUCCCCCAGUAGCGGCGAGCGAACGGGGAGGAGCCCAGAGCCUGAAUCAGCAUGUGUGUUAGUGGAAGCGUCUGGAAAGGCGCGCGAUACAGGGUGACAGCCCCGUACACAAAAGCGCAUGUGCUGUGAGCUCGAUGAGUAGGGCGGGACACGUGGUAUCCUGUCUGAAUAUGGGGGGACCAUCCUCCAAGGCUAAAUACUCCUGACUGACCGAUAGUGAACCAGUACCGUGAGGGAAAGGCGAAAAGAACCCCGGCGAGGGGAGUGAAAAAGAACCUGAAACCGUGUACGUACAAGCAGUGGGAGCACAGGUUUACCUGUGUGACUGCGUACCUUUUGUAUAAUGGGUCAGCGACUUAUAUUCUGUAGCAAGGUUAACCGUAUAGGGGAGCCGUAGGGAAACCGAGUCUUAACCGGGCGUUAAGUUGCAGGGUAUAGACCCGAAACCCGGUGAUCUAGCCAUGGGCAGGUUGAAGGUUGGGUAACACUAACUGGAGGACCGAACCGACUAAUGUUGAAAAAUUAGCGGAUGACCUGUGGCUGGGGGUGAAAGGCCAAUCAAACCGGGAGAUAGCUGGUUCUCCCCGAAAGCUAUUUAGGUAGCGCCUCGUGAAUUCAUCUCCGGGGGUAGAGCACUGUUUCGGCUAGGGGGCCAUCCCGGCUUACCAACCCGAUGCAAACUGCGAAUACCGGAGAAUGUUAUCACGGGAGACACACGGCGGGUGCUAACGUCCGUCGUGAAGAGGGAAACAACCCAGACCGCCAGCUAAGGUCCCAAAGUCAUGGUUAAGUGGGAAACGAUGUGGGAAGGCCCAGACAGCCAGGAUGUUGGCUUAGAAGCAGCCAUCAUUUAAAGAAAGCGUAAUAGCUCACUGGUCGAGUCGGCCUGCGCGGAAGAUGUAACGGGGCUAAACCAUGCACCGAAGCUGCGGCAGCGACGCUGAUGCGUUGUUGGGUAGGGGAGCGUUCUGUAAGCCUGCGAAGGUGACCUGUGAGGGUUGCUGGAGGUAUCAGAAGUGCGAAUGCUGACAUAAGUAACGAUAAAGCGGGUGAAAAGCCCGCUCGCCGGAAGACCAAGGGUUCCUGUCCAACGUUAAUCGGGGCAGGGUGAGUCGACCCCUAAGGCGAGGCCGAAAGGCGUAGUCGAUGGGAAACGGGUUAAUAUUCCCGUACUUGGUGUUACUGCGAAGGGGGGACGGAGAAGGCUAUGUUGGCCGGGCGACGGUUGUCCCGGUUUAAGCGUGUAGGUGUGUGUUCCAGGUAAAUCCGGUUCACUUUAACACUGAGGCGUGACGACGAGGCACUACGGUGCUGAAGCAACAAAUGCCCUGCUUCCAGGAAAAGCCUCUAAGCAUCAGGUAACACGAAAUCGUACCCCAAACCGACACAGGUGGUCAGGUAGAGAAUACCAAGGCGCUUGAGAGAACUCGGGUGAAGGAACUAGGCAAAAUGGUGCCGUAACUUCGGGAGAAGGCACGCUGACACGUAGGUGAAGUGAUUUACUCAUGGAGCUGAAGUCAGUCGAAGAUACCAGCUGGCUGCAACUGUUUAUUAAAAACACAGCACUGUGCAAACACGAAAGUGGACGUAUACGGUGUGACGCCUGCCCGGUGCCGGAAGGUUAAUUGAUGGGGUCAGCGCAAGCGAAGCUCCUGAUCGAAGCCCCGGUAAACGGCGGCCGUAACUAUAACGGUCCUAAGGUAGCGAAAUUCCUUGUCGGGUAAGUUCCGACCUGCACGAAUGGCGUAAUGAUGGCCAGGCUGUCUCCACCCGAGACUCAGUGAAAUUGAACUCGCUGUGAAGAUGCAGUGUACCCGCGGCAAGACGGAAAGACCCCGUGAACCUUUACUAUAGCUUGACACUGAACAUUGAGCCUUGAUGUGUAGGAUAGGUGGGAGGCUUUGAAGUGUGGACGCCAGUCUGCAUGGAGCCGACCUUGAAAUACCACCCUUUAAUGUUUGAUGUUCUAACGUGGACCCGUAAUCCGGGUUGCGGACAGUGUCUGGUGGGUAGUUUGACUGGGGCGGUCUCCUCCUAAAGAGUAACGGAGGAGCACGAAGGUUGGCUAAUCCUGGUCGGACAUCAGGAGGUUAGUGCAAUGGCAUAAGCCAGCUUGACUGCGAGCGUGACGGCGCGAGCAGGUGCGAAAGCAGGUCAUAGUGAUCCGGUGGUUCUGAAUGGAAGGGCCAUCGCUCAACGGAUAAAAGGUACUCCGGGGAUAACAGGCUGAUACCGCCCAAGAGUUCAUAUCGACGGCGGUGUUUGGCACCUCGAUGUCGGCUCAUCACAUCCUGGGGCUGAAGUAGGUCCCAAGGGUAUGGCUGUUCGCCAUUUAAAGUGGUACGCGAGCUGGGUUUAGAACGUCGUGAGACAGUUCGGUCCCUAUCUGCCGUGGGCGCUGGAGAACUGAGGGGGGCUGCUCCUAGUACGAGAGGACCGGAGUGGACGCAUCACUGGUGUUCGGGUUGUCAUGCCAAUGGCACUGCCCGGUAGCUAAAUGCGGAAGAGAUAAGUGCUGAAAGCAUCUAAGCACGAAACUUGCCCCGAGAUGAGUUCUCCCUGAGACUUAGAGUCUCCUGAAGGAACGUUGAAGACGACGACGUUGAUAGGCCGGGUGUGUAAGCGCAGCGAUGCGUUGAGCUAACCGGUACUAAUGAACCGUGAGGCUUAACCUU
rnacentral:rRNA from 2 species